GACGAACGCUGGCGGCGUGCUUAACACAUGCAAGUCGAACGGAAAGGCCUGCUUUCCCUUGUGGAUUGCGGGUACUCGAGUGGCGAACGGGUGAGUAACACGUGAGUGAUCUGCCCCCAACUUGGGUAUAAGCCUGGGAAACUGGGUCUAAUUCCCGAUAGGACUGCAGGGUGGUGCCUGUGGUGGAAAACGAUUUUCUAGUGGUUGGGGAUGAGCUCGCGGCCUAUCAGCUUGUUGGUGGGGUAAUGGCCUACCAAGGCGGCGACGGGUAGCCGGCCUGAGAGGGUGGACGGCAACAUUGGGACUGGGAUACGGCCCAGACUCCUACGGGAGGCAGCAGUGGGGAAUAGUGCACAAUGGGCGGAAGCCUGAUGCAGCGACGCCGCGUGGGGGAUGACGGCCUUCGGGUUGUAAACUCCUUUCGACCGCGAGGAAGCCACCUGGUUGGAAGGGUGGUGACGGUAGUGGUAGAAGAAGCACCGGCUAACUACGUG
rnacentral:rRNA from 1 species